CGGGUAAGUUCCGACCUGCACGAAUGGCGUAAUGAUGGCCACGCUGUCUCCACCCGAGACUCAGUGAAAUUGAAAUCGCUGUGAAGAUGCAGUGUACCCGCGGCUAGACGGAAAGACCCCGUGAACCUUUACUACAGCUUGGCACUGAACAUUGACCCUACAUGUGUAGGAUAGGUGUGAGCCUUUGAAGCACGUACGCCAGUAUGUGUGGAGCCGUCCUUGAAAUACCACCCUUGUAGUGUUGAUGUUCUAACGUUGACCCCUGAUCGGGGUUGCGGACAGUGCCUGGUGGGUAGUUUGACUGGGGCGG
rnacentral:rRNA from 1 species